CUGGGUUUCCUGCGCGCCUCAAGUCUCCUUUUUAUUUCACCUCGGGGAAAAUGGAGGCGGGGGUGUGAAAGAAAGAGAGGAAGAAAGAAAGAACAAGGGGGGUGGGGUGGGGGGGGACGACAGAAGGCAGGCCACAUCCCAGCAGCCCUCCUGCCCCCCGCGUCUCCAUCGCCAGCCCCAAGCCAGAACAGAUUUGAGUGGAGCUGCCCUGGCUCUAUCAUCUGCGGCGUGCAGAGUCAUCACGGCCGCGGUGCAUAGCUGAGAGCCGGAAAGCAAACAGCUGCUGUAGCCUGAUUUGAGUUAAAAUAGUGUCAGUGUUUAGUCUGGCGCACUGCUUCAGGAGAGAUUGGCAGCUGGGUCAAACAAAGUCAUUCCAUUGGCUCCCUUCCCAGCCAGCUUCUGCUAGUAUUUAGGUACUAGUGCAGCCUAGGCCCCUUUUCUCAGGGAUAGCCUAACAUCUGACCGCACCCUCCUUGCUGUUUAAAAAAUGCCUUUUCACUCUUUAAGAUAAAUCCACUAUUAGACAAUCUGCCACUAAUAGUGCAGUAAGGCUGUUUUUCUCCCGAAAGCCGACGCAUCCCGCUCCCGCCGCAGUGCAGAAAGCAGGCUGUUACAGUGCCGGAUUCAUAAAAGGGGCCUUUAUGGCUGGUGAAAGAAUAUCUGUGUGCUUAGGCCGGAAACUUUUUGAUCCAGUGCAAAGCCAGACGACACCUAGAUUUCUUUUACAAUACAUUCUCCUCAAGCCUGUGAAUUUUUCUUUUACUGACCAGUGA
rnacentral:lncRNA from 1 species